UUGAGUGGAUGAUGGCUGGGGCUCUGACCAGCCGGAUUGUGCGACACACAAAGGUUUGAAGAAAAAAUGAGUUCGUGUGUAACGAGAGCCAUAAUUGGAGCAAUUGUCCAGCCUGAACAAUUGGCUAUCGUGCAACUGAGACAAAAAAUGGCCUUGCGUGCGAACGCGAUUGAGAGGACGUGAGAUGCCAAGAAUCGUAUGGCAGCAAACUCGCCUAGAUAUUGAGAAAAUUCAACAUGGAAACCAAAGCACAUACCUGGUGAAUUCUGCUCACUCCGAAUGACCUCCAUGUGUACGCCAAGCACCAAUACCUCAAGUUACACACCAUUCUACAAAAUUGAUAAAAGAGCGUUGAUGGAUGUGAUAUACUGAAAUUUUCAGAAGGCUUUUGAUAAAUUCCUCUGCAGGAGGCUGGAUUGAAAAUUUUAAAGCAUUGGGGAUAGCAGGUUUGCCUGCUACUCCAUUCGGACAAUGGAUGAGAAUUAUUGUCGGUCACAAAAGCAUAUUGACAGACUUAAUACAGUCACGUGGUAUUCCUUUGUCCAUCACUCAGUAGGGAUGUUCGCCCAUUGAAGAUGCUGCCAGCCCAGUGAAGUUUCUCUAGCACUUUCUGUCUUACUUAACAAUCAAGCCAUUGGUGACAGAGAAAGCUCACCGCUUCAACACAAGAUUUAAUUCAAAAAGCCAACAUCCAUGGCCAAAUCUGGUCAAUCUCUUCAUUAAAGAAUCUAAGAGAUUAUCACACAUUUGAAUGUUUGAGGAUCCCGUGGAUCAAAUUCAAUUCUGAACACUUAUAUAUUAUUAUGGAGACAUCCACUUUCUCUCUCUAUUUUCAAUUGAGAUGUGGAUGUAAUUGGCACAACCUCAUUUAUUACCCAUCAUGAGCUGAAGGUGUUGUGGUGUUUUCUGCUUUCUGGUGAUGGAGCCAUCACUCGGGUUUCUCAUGGCACUGAACAGUAUUUUGGAGAAGAGCCUCACUAUUUUGAGUUUGUCCACAGUGUAAAUGAUUUCAUCACCUUCUCUGGCAGCUGUCUUGACUGAAAAGUUGGAUACAGGAUCAUUGUGAAGAUCCCCAGCAAUGGCGGAUCAUUGGUGCUUAGGCAGUUGACAGAGGGGGGGCUUUUGGAACCAUGACACCGUUGGCUUUCCUUGAGGUACAGUGAAUGUUGUGCAUUUGGCAUGGUAUUUACAGAUUGUCUGUAUAGUACUGAAACAGGCCAUUCAGUCCAAAACAUCCAUACCAGUCUUAAUGCUCCACACAAGCAUCCAUUUACUUCUCUUCAUCCAAGCCCAUUACCAUUAAUUUCAAUGCCUUUCAUGUGUUCAUUUAACUCACCCCUUAAUAAACCCUGUGUUAUUCUCCUCAGCUACUCCUUGUAGGAUCGAUGGCUAGAUUUUCACUGGGGAUGCCAAGGAAUUGAUGCAGCAGCAAUGGAGGAGCAUGGGGUUUGUGGAGAACUGCAGUGGGGUGAGGGUGUGGAGAAUUCAAGUGUUUAACAAAUACUGCUAUUCUUCUCCUCAGAGGCUGAGGCCGCAGGGCUAGGAAGUGUUGUUAAAGCGAGCUUGGCACAAGCUUGGCCUUGCUUUUGUUUCAUUAAUUAAUAUACUCCUCAUGCAUUCAAAUACCUCUAAUAUCUUCCAGCUGUUCAUUGGCCCCCAUUCACUGCAGUCAGAUGGACUGGCAAUCAGAAUGCUGAUGCAGUUGACAUGGAAUUAUACUGGUUUUAUGUCUUCCAAAGUUGAGAACCUCUCCCAUUUGCCUCUUUCUAAUCACUUGCCUCUUUUCACCCUUCACUACUGGG